GAUGAACGCUGGCGGCGUGCUUAACACAUGCAAGUCGAACGAAGCACUGAAAGCGGAUUACUUCGGUUUGAAGCUUUCUUUGACUGAGUGGCGGACGGGUGAGUAACGCGUGGGUAACCUGCCUCAUACAGGGGGAUAACAGUUAGAAAUGACUGCUAAUACCGCAUAAGCGCACGGUUUCGCAUGGAACAGUGUGAAAAACUUUAGUGGUAUGAGAUGGACCCGCGUCUGAUUAGCUGGUUGGUGAGGUAACGGCCCACCAAGGCGACGAUCAGUAGCCGGCCUGAGAGGGUGAACGGCCACAUUGGGACUGAGACACGGCCCAA
rnacentral:rRNA from 1 species